rnacentral:rRNA from 1 species
UACGAAGGGGGCGAGCGUUGUUCGGAUUUACUGGGCGUAAAGGGCGCGCAGGCGGCUCAUUUUGUCAGGCGUGAAAGCCCCGGGCUUAACCUGGGAACUGCGUUUGAUACGGAUGGGCUAGAGUUCGGGAGAGGAGAGUGGAAUUCCCAGUGUAGAGGUGAAAUUCGUAGAUAUUGGGAAGAACACCGGUGGCGAAGGCGGCUCUCUGGACCGAUACUGACGCUGAGGCGCAAAAGCGUGGGGAGCAAACAGG